ACGAUUAUACCAAAAUUAAUGCACUACAACCCAUCAGAACUCCGAAGUUAAGCAUGCUUAGGUGAGAGCAAUACUAGGAUGGGUGGCCCCUUGGGAAGUCCUCGUGUUGCACCU
rnacentral:rRNA from 1 species